rnacentral:lncRNA from 1 species
UUUGGUGUAGGUAUGGUUCCUUUGAUAAACCCCAAUUUGUUUUUGGCACUAAGACUUACCAACAUUGAUCGCCUCCACAUAGCAUAGUUGGUUCCAUCAAGAACCUUUGGAACAAGCAUCAUCCCUGGAUGGUCAGAGGCAUGAAUGAAGAGUGGAUUAGAUGGAUCUAUGGAUGGAAUAGACAUGACUUGAUCAAUAGUUUAGAUAACACUAGUAG